rnacentral:rRNA from 1 species
UACGAAGGGGGCUAGCGUUGCUCGGAAUCACUGGGCGUAAAGGGUGCGUAGGCGGGUCUUUAAGUCAGGGGUGAAAUCCUGGAGCUCAACUCCAGAACUGCCUUUGAUACUGACGAUCUUGAGUCCGGGAGAGGUGAGUGGAACUGCGAGUGUAGAGGUGAAAUUCGUAGAUAUUCGCAAGAACACCAGUGGCGAAGGCGGCUUACUGGUCCGGAACUGACGCUGAGGUGCGAAAGCAUGGGGAGCGAACAGGA